rnacentral:misc_RNA from 1 species
UGCCCGGGUAACUCACCAAAC